UUGUCUAUGGAAAUGCCAGUGCUGGCUCGAUGGGCUGAAUGGCCUCUACUCCUGCAACUAUUAUCCAUUGUCCAUUGUCUAUAAAUGAAUAGCUCGCCUCUUGUCCACUGAGCCAGAUUUUUUAUCUUGCCAAAGUUGAAACAGUGCCAGCCACUCUGUGAUCAUUACACCCGGAUGCGCGGAGACUGUUUCGAGGCACCUCCCGUCCCUUUGUGACCAUUCGGAGCUGCCUGGAGAUGAUGCGAGCUGCGGUCCUGUCCAUCGUGUUGCUGGCGCUGGCCCUUCCCAUCCUAUCCCAGGACCUCGAUGACUACGACACUCGAUAUUUCCAGUGCUUUGGAGAGAAAGGGGUCUGUCGCGAUGAGAACUGUUUGCCCGGGGAGGUGUUCAACAGCGAAAGGUGUUUCUUGGGGUUGAAAUGCUGCGUGCGGAGAGGCCACUGAGCAACGGCUCAGCCCAGAGGCACCUAGAGGACUUCCCCCGAAACGGAAUCACCUCCCAGGCCGAUCGGAUUGCAUUCAAUGUUUCGCUGCUGCUUAAAUAAAAACACAUCAUCUUG